AAUGAGAGUUUGAUCCUAGCUCAGGGUGAAUGCUGGCGGCGUGGAUAAGUCAUGCAAGUCGAACGCUGGAAACCGGAGAACAGAGUCCGGAAGCCAGAAGGAUAUAUACUCAACACAUGAACUAUCGUGAAUUGGAGGUGUAUAAACGUGCGAAUAUAUUGUUUCCACAAAUCUAUCGCUUGGUCAGGUCUUGGAAACAGAUUGACCAGCGGGAGAUCGCUAGAGUGGCAGACGAGGUAGUAACACGUAGGUAGAUCCCCCGAAGUCGGGCAUAGCCAGCCGAAAGGUUGGGUAAUUCCCGAUAGUCCCCGUGAGAUAAGAGUUUCGGAUAGAGAAAUUAUAGUUGCGAAGUCAGCAAACUUUCGUAAUUUGUUUCAAUAUCGGGAGUUGUUAUCUCACGGGGUAAAGGUUUUUCGCUUCGGGAGUUGCCUGCGUAGUAUCAGCUAGUUGGUAGGGUAACGGCCUACCAAGGCUACGACGCUUAGGGGAGCUGAGAGGCUGACCCCCACCGAU
rnacentral:rRNA from 1 species